rnacentral:rRNA from 1 species
UCAGGAUGAACGCUAGCGGCAGGCUUAAUACAUGCAAGGCGAAGGGGCAGCAAUGUCACUGGCGUACGGGUGCGUAACGCGUAUGCAACCUGCCCAUCACUGGGGGAUAGCCCGGGGAAACCCGGAUUAAUACCGCAUAAAACAGGGGCACCGCAUGGUGAUAUUUGUUAAAGAUUUAUUGGUGAUAGAUGGGCAUGCGUUCGAUUAGCUAGUUGGCGGGGUAACGGCCCACCAAGGCUACGAUCGUUAGGGGAACUGAGAGGUUGAUCCCCCACACUGGCACUGAGAUACGGGCCAGACUCCUACGGGAGGCAGCAGUAGGGAAUAUUGGGCAAUGGAUGCAAGUCUGAACCAGCCAUGCCGCGUGCCGGAUGAAGGCCCUCAGGGUUGUAAACGGCUUUU